rnacentral:rRNA from 1 species
CAGCAGCCGCGGGAAUACGGAGGGAGCUAGCGUUGUUCGGAAUUACUGGGCGUAAAGCGCGCGUAGGCGGUUACUCAAGUCAGAGGUGAAAGCCCGGGGCUCAACCCCGGAACUGCCUUUGAAACUAGGUGACUAGAAUCUUGGAGAGGUCAGUGGAAUUCCGAGUGUAGAGGUGAAAUUCGUAGAUAUUCGGAAGAACACCAGUGGCGAAGGCGACUGACUGGACAAGUAUUGACGCUGAGGUGCGAAAGCGUGGGGAGCAAACAGGAUUAGAGACCCCAGUAGUCCCUGUCUCUUAUAC